rnacentral:lncRNA from 1 species
GAUAAAAUCAAUAAUAACAAUAUUAUAUAUCAUCCAUAAUAUUCAUACAUUGUUAUUCGAAUGAACCAAAUAUCAAGUAUAUAUGAUCAUUACAUAUUUCGAUUCACUUCCCGGCUUAUCCACUCUGACAAAGUCUUCAUCGACCUCUUCAACGCUUCCUUUGACUAUGCUUUCAGCCAACUUUUUCCCUGCAAACAGAUGGAUACCCUAUAAGUUUCUCUUUAACAGUUAAGAUGGCUCAAUAACUAAAUACAAACAAAUGUCUCCUCCAAAUUCAAGAAAAUGUAGUUAUAAACAUUCCCUAUAUCCAAGUCACCUGAGUCAAAAAAUUACGAGCCUUUUCUCCCCAUAUGAGGUGUUGCUGCCACCAUACCUGAAAAUACUAUGCAAUUGGUUCUAACCAUACCAUCUGCUAUCAAAUCAUAAAACCUGAAAAUGAUUCAUGGAAAUUCAUGGAAAGUAUUCUACUUAAUGAAAUCAAAUGCCACAAAAUGAUUUGCCCAUACGAAGGCUUCCCAUAAGAUAUUAAAUCAGCAAUACAAUCUAACAAACCCUUAUUAAGAUCCGAGCAAUAUACCAUUAUUUAUCUAGUCGAUGCAGUAAAUUAGCCACAAGGCUCACAAAGUAAACCUCAAAAAGAAGAGAAAAAAAAGAGAAACACUCACCUCAUUCUCUGCCCAUACAAAACCUGAAAAGAGGCCAAUAUUUUUCUUCAGAUAAAGACAACUGAACAAAAGGGGUAAUCAUAAGACCUGAGAUGAUGACUAAAAAUCAACUCGGCAAAAUUCAAAUUCAACAAUGCAGCGGGAUAAGAACAAAAAUAUAUAUUUUAAUAUGAAACCUUUGCUUUUUUUCCAAAAAGAAUGGUGGGAAGAACGUGUAGGUUCUCAUUAGCUUUUCUCUUGGACAACUUGAAGGCCACUGAAACAUGCAUAAGAUCAUAGAAACAGCAGGACUCAUUUUAGCAUAACACGGCAUCUAUUUUAAAUAUAUUCGUUAAAAAAAAAUCAGCAGAUAAAGCAGCAGCAAUCAUCACACAUACAUGAAUCUUCAUAUCACAACCUAGCAAAAAUGCAAUCAUCACACAUAUACGAAGCUUCAAUGUUACUCAAUCACUCAAACCCCUACCAACAUGAAAACACAAAAUUAACAAAGAAUAUGGAUGGGGGAAAAGUACGUGUUAUACCAACUUUAGGAGCAGCAAUACUUGGAACGAUUUGAUCGU